rnacentral:lncRNA from 1 species
UAUUAUUAGGUAUUUUCCUCAUUUACAUUUUCAAUGCUAUCCCAAAGGUCCCCCAUACCCACCCCCACCCCAAUCCCCUACUGUAUUUUUUAAGUUAAUAAGGCCUGGGAAGAUGGCUCAGUUGGUAAAUCACUAGCUGUCCAAGCAUAAACUUUGGAUCACUAGUACUUGAGCAAAUUCCUGAUGAUAUAACAGCCCACCUACAGUCUUAGCUGUUGGGAGGGGAAAUAUGGGAUCCUCAAAGCAAGCUGGCUAACAAGCUCUGGGUACAGCCAAAGACCCUGCCUCAGUAAAGAAACAAACAAACAAAACUGAUCAAGAAGGACAAUGGCUAUAAAACUCUGACUUCCACAUGUGGGUGCCCAAACAUGCACACUCACACACUUACUUGCACACCUGUAAAUUCAUGGGUAUGACACAUAUAUACACAUGUGCCAAAUAAGGACAUCUUAAUAAUAAUUUGAUCCUUAUCAUUAAUAUGUGGGAGUUCUUUAGUACUUGAAGCUUUUAAGAACUUUGCCAUACAAAGCUUUACAUCCAAUUGAGAUUCUUUCUCUUUAACAUUCAAUGUGGUACCCUAGUUUAAACAGGAGACCACUUCAAUUUGAAAUCUACUUUAGAACACUCUCUGAGUAUAACACAGCAAAGAAUACAAGGCUACCCCACUGUUGACACAGAAUCACCUCAGAAAUAAAUGCAGCUAUAAAUCUCAUCAGGACCGAUCUCACAGUACAUGCUCAGAAACCAGUUAAUACCUGCCCCCUUAGCUCUGCAGCUCACAUCCCACUUAAACAAUGAGAUGAAAGCACACAUAGCCAGUACUCUUACUAGAAGAGUUAUACACAGCAUGCCAUUACUUCAUGGAAACUGCAUCACAGGGUACAUUCAACCACUGCCCUGCUCUGUCUCAUCAAGAUAUAUGAACCCAGGGGACUUCUGUUAAGGGGGGACAAUCAAAUGAAUGCCUCAGAAGCUUUAGCCAGAGCCAGCCGUGAGGUGACAUGAAUGAGAGACAGAAAUGGACAAGGCCUUCAGGGAGUUCACACAUGAUGGAGAAUGCUAAGGUAAGCAAUUUCAAUUCCAGAUGAUGUGGGCUUUUAUUGCAGGAAUAUUGGUUGCCCACCUAAUGGUGGAGAGCGCCAUGUUCCAUCCUGUAUGCAAUGUGGCACACACUCUUGAAACAGGGAGGAUUCUGCACAAAUAAUUUGGAGGAUAAAAAUAGUGGGGCAUGUUUAGAGACUAGAAAUAGUUCUGCAGUGCUGCUCUAUCACAGUUAUGGAUAUGUGGUCUUAGAGAACGGCAUCCACGAUGCAGCCUGAGUGACUUUGUGAGGGCUGGAGUUUCCUUUAUCUCUGUACUUUUGUAUAGUAAACUGGUGAAUUCCAGGCUUUCAGCCUUACCUAGAACCUGUUAAGUAUACAGCUAAGGGGUAGACAGGUAAAAGAAUGAAUGAGAAAAUGUUCAGUCUGUAAACUCAGAAGGUGGGAUUGUACCCUUCAAGACAGAAAGAGAGAGAGAGAGAGAGAGAGAGAGAGAGAGAGAGAGAGAGAGAGAGAGAGAGAGAGAGAGAGAGAAAGCCCUCAAGGUCAAUAGAAUGAAGAGGCUACUUUUAUGUUGUGGUCAGGUUUCAAAUUUUUGUUCUGGUUUAAUGUGAAAAUCCUGAAAUUGAUAUCAGUACUGUGUCUGCAUUUAUGAAGUUAACCUUUCUUUUGAUGCACUAAGCCAACAUACAAAAUCAACAAAGUUUGUGUCUAUCUCUCUCCUCUGUGACUAAAAAUUACUACACCAUUUAUCAUUCCAGUCACAUAUGAACUUGGCAGUUCCCACUGGCGGUGCGUUUGAGAUGGCAAUAUGGCUCAGUGGUUAACAGCAAUCACUUCUCUGGCAGAGGACAUGGGUUCACUUCCUAGAACCCACAUGGUAACUCACAACCACAUAUAUCUUCUGGCAUAGUGGGCCCAAUACCCAUUUCUAGUCACUGUGGACUGUCACAUGCAUACUGCACACUCAGACUUACUCAGGCUCACACACAUAUAUCAAGUUUAAAAUGUAAUGUUUUUAGAGUUUUCUUUGGUGGAUAACUGGUAGCUUUCUAAUCACCUGAGUGGGUUUUUUUUUUUCCAGAGACAGUCAUUGAAGACAAGUUUUGUCUUUUAGAACCAAAUGUCAUUUUAAUUUAAAAAGAAAAAUGUGUGUUCUUAGCCAAGGUCAGCUUAUUUCUUAAAAUUCUCUCCUAUCCAAGUGCUAUGAGGAAGGCUCAUCUCAAAAUUCAACUGAUGAUUCUUUUCUGGUUUCUAACUACUAAAGAUGUACCUCACCUUUGCAGAUUCUCUCUCUCUCUCUCUCUCUUUCUCUCUCUCUCUCUCUCUCUCUCUCUCUCUCUCUCUCUCUCUCUCUCUCUCCCUCUCUCUCUCUCUCUCUCUGAACUGAAGCUUGGACACAUGUUAAGUUAACUUUCUCUUGGAAUCACAGAGCAUCUCCAAGGUCUCAACUUGUACAAGGAGGGUGCUAGAGCAAUUUCCCACCCACUGGUGUUCUUGCUUAGCUGACCCAAACCCUUAGAUGAUUUUAAUGUGAACAACUACUUCACAUCGGAACGAGUGAAGGAUACUGCAACUUGCUCACUCCCCUAUUGGCUGUUUUGUCUGCAUCUUCUUUCUGUAACACUCCCAUAAUAAGUUUGUGUCAAACAAUCCUCUUGCAUCUGAUUUUUGUCUGGAAAAAAACCUGUGAGAUUUUCAGAUGGAAAUAUCAAUAAAC